GGGCCCUUACCUCAGUCUGGAUAGAGGACUCGGCUACGAACCGAGGCGUCGUAGGUUCAAAUCCUAUAGGGCCCG
rnacentral:tRNA from 1 species